GAGGUGGAAUGUAUCUUUUAGUCCCACCUUGCUAUUGAGGGUGGAGGGACCCAACUAAAACGGAGUUAUCUCCUCCAACCACUUAGCAAGUGUUGAUGAAAGGACUAGGAGAAGACACGCGCACGCUCGCUCGCCUCGCUUCGCUGGACCGUUGCCGUGGCUGGGGCAAGGCGAAGGGUGUGGGUGCACGACACCUGCGUGAAUGGUUCGUCGAAAUCAGGUCCAGUGGCUUGCGCAGGUGUGGCCUCCUUUUGCAGUUUUAUUCUUUUACUGCAUGGCCAAACAGAUAUAUACAUAUGGAAAUCGUAUCGAUUAAGAAUUCGAUCGUGGCAUGUCUCAACCAUGUGAUUUUUUCUAUACAUACCUGCCAGCCGCCGCCACAAAAGAAAUACGCAAUCAGGGUUUGCCUCUUUCUCUGUUGUGCUGUCACACAGUCUGCUCCGUCUUGCUCUGCCUGCGUGGACCAGCGAUCAGGAGAACAAGCCUCUGGAACCCAUCGUACUUGCUAUCAUGCACCAAGAGAGAGCAAACAAGGUUUUUGGAAAGAGCUUCACGCGACUACUCAUGAUCUGUUUCAUCAUCGCCAUUGAAUGCUCGCGAUCUGCUUCCUAUUGUUGUCACCUUCUGCAUCGUCGUCACGGGAGCUUUGGUGUCGAUCACUGUCGAUCGGACUGUGAAAUCGGUUUAUUAGUUCCGAAACUGGCUAUGGACAGCAUUCACGUACACUGCCAUGGUGGACUAUCCAACCCCCCGUGAAUUUCCUGGAGAAUCUGCAUGCCUACCCCGUCACGGAGAUGUGCGAGAUCAUCGAUGGUUUCCUCGCAAGCGCAAACAUCAUGAACAAAAUCUUUUGCAGCGGCAAGCCUGUAAUACAAUUAGACAGGAGACCAGACUUCCAGAUAGAGGAUGGAGAUGACCCACAUGGCGUCAGUAGCUGUGAAUUGCUGGUAGAACCUGAAAAACAAAUAGUACAAUGCUAGUGACAACAAUGAGAUUGCACAGAGAUGAUCAUGCCGAUGUCGAUCUCCAACGAGAGCAUGCUCCCACCAUACACCUUCAGUUAUGAUGACUGGUCCGAGGAUUUCUUUGCGAGCUGGGGGGUUCGGCCAAGACCGCAUUGGAUCACCACUGAAUGUGGUAGAUGUGUAAGUGUUGUUUCAGACAUUCUCAUGUCCUCAUCUGGUGCUGCAUUGCACAUUUUCCUGCAGAAAAUUUAUCAGGUGAUCAAGAGAUUUUGGGGCAACAUCAUAUUCUCCAACGAAAUGCGAGACACAUGUAGUCGAGACGGGGUGCUCAAGAACAUAUUACAGAGAAGGGUGAGCAAGAAACAGCAGGAAAAAAUGGAAGGCCAUAACAAUGUUUUUGAGAUUUACUAAUGUCAAGGUCACUUGUUCUGAUGAUCCGGGGCUAAUAUUUGGAUCCAUACAAAAAAAGAAGAUGAUGAGAUUUUCCUUCUUACACAGGAUGUUAUACAGGGCAAGUUAAAGUAACAUAAGGUGAAAAGCCAAUAAGUUAUGUCACUGAUCAUCAGAAACUGUAAAACAUGAUAAGUCUUACAUGAAUCAUGAAUCUAAGGUUCCUUCAUACUCAGAUUCUGUUUCUGAAACUGCAUAGCUUCUUCUGUUUGGAUUCCAUCCUAAGACAGGAAUGAACAGUGGCGUUGUAUCAGCACUGGUUUUGUCUGUUUCACGCAUGAAAACCAAGGCUAUCUGUUUAAUUGCAAGAAAAGUGCAGCAUU